rnacentral:rRNA from 1 species
CCUAAUACAUGCAAGUCGAGCGAACGGACGAGAAGCUUGCUUCUCUGAUGUUAGCGGCGGACGGGUGAGUAACACGUGGAUAACCUACCUAUAAGACUGGGAUAACUUCGGGAAACCGGAGCUAAUACCGGAUAAUAUUUUGAACCGCAUGGUUCAAAAGUGAAAGACGGUCUUGCUGUCACUUAUAGAUGGAUCCGCGCUGCAUUAGCUAGUUGGUAAGGUAACGGCUUACCAAGGCAACGAUGCAUAGCCGACCUGAGAGGGUGAUCGGCCACACUGGAACUGAGACACGGUCCAGACUCCUACGGGAGGCAGCAGUAGGGAAUCUUCCGCAAUGGGCGAAAGCCUGACGGAGCAACGCCGCGUGAGUGAUGAAGGUCUUCGGAUCGUAAAGCUCUGUUAUUAGGGAAGAACAUAUGUGUAAGUAACUGUGCACAUCUUGACGGUACCUAAUCAGAAAGCCACGGCUAACUACGUGCCAGCAGCCGCGGUAAUACGCAGGUGGCAAGCGUUAUCCGGAAUUAUUGGGCGUAAAGCGCGCGUAGGCGGUUUUUUAAGUCUGAUGUGAAAGCCCACGGCUCAACCGUGGAGGGUCAUUGGAAACUGGAAAACUUGAGUGCAGAAGAGGAAAGUGGAAUUCCAUGUGUAGCGGUGAAAUGCGCAGAGAUAUGGAGGAACACCAGUGGCGAAGGCGACUUUCUGGU